AGGAUAAUAAUUUAAUAAAAAUAUUUGAUUUGCAUUCAAAAAAUGUUAAUUUAUUAACUUAUCUUA
rnacentral:tRNA from 1 species